UAUAUAUAUAUAGAAUAGGGCUAGGAUACUUGUAAAAAUAUCAGGGGGGUGAUACUUGUGUGUUUUUAGCCCUUGGAUAGAGAAAUGUGAGGUUGAGAUGACGGUGGUAGGUGGUGGUAAGUGGAUUAAUGUUUAAUCCAAGGACUAUUAAUAAUCAAAAAGUAGAUCCAAUGGCUUAAAACCUAAUAGCACCAUAAUGGUGAUACUUGUAAAAGUAUCAUAGCUCAACUCUAUAUAUAUAGAGUAGGGCUAGAAUACUUGUAAAAAUAUAAUGGGGGUAAUACUUGUGUGUUUUUAGCCCUCGGAUGGAGAGAUGUGAGGUUGAGAUGAUGGUGGUAGGUGGUGGUAGGUGGGGGUAGGUGGAAUAGUGUUUAAUCCAAGGGCUAUUAAUAAUCAAAAAGUAGAUCCAAUGGCUUAAAACCUAAUAGCACCAUAAUGGUGAUACUUGUAAAAGUAUCAUAGCUCAACUCUAUAUAUAUAUAUACUAGUUGAGUGUACCUGCAAAUAACAAUUAUUAUAAUUUAUUUCAAAUCAAUAUAAAUGUGUACAUUAUAUAUAUCCAAAAUUUUAAAAUAAAAUUAUAUUUAUAAAUUAAAAU
rnacentral:lncRNA from 1 species